ACACCUCAACUCUCAUGGUUUGCCAUGAUGAGCUUGGACUUUGGGGGUCUUGUUGGCCACAAGCCAGCUCCUCUUAAAUGGAUCAGCUUGCCAGUGUUUGGUGGAGUCACGGGUGUGAUAACUAUCUACGCUUGUGGUUUCCCAUCAGAUAACCUUCAGCGAUGGAGGUUCGCUGGGGCUUAUAAAUGUCUCUCCUCGGUGAGGGCAGAUUUUGACC
rnacentral:misc_RNA from 1 species